AACGUAGGUGGCGAGCGUUAUCCGGAAUUACUGGGAGUAAAGCGUGUGCAGGCGGGCUAGCAAGUGGAGUAUGAAAGCUCCCGGCUCAACCGGGAAGGGUUAUGCCAGACUGCUAGUCUUGAGUGCGAGAGAGGAGCGUGGAAUUCCGGGUGUAGUGGUGAAAUGCGUAGAGAUCCGGAGGAACCCCAGAGGCGAAGGCGGCGCUCUGGCUCGCAACUGACGCUCAGACCCGACAGCAUGGGGAGCGAACGGG
rnacentral:rRNA from 1 species